CCCCUGAGAUUAUGGGUAAAGAAAGCAUUAACAAAUUUAUGUUUGUCUCCUUUCCCGCUUUAAUUUUAAAGAUAUUUAAAGUGAUAUAACUAAAGUAUUUGAAUAGUAUAUAUGUUUGAAUACAUUUUUUUCUCAUAGUUCAGUAUAUUGACUUUGUACUGUGAAUUUUUUGUUUUUCUUAUUUCUUAGAUAAUCUCAGGAUUUGUAUGGGAAAAAAAAACCUUAACCUUAUUUAUGAGGCAAAUUUCCAUACAAAACUCAGUCUCCAUUACAUAAACAUAUGCUCACAUACACACAUUCCUUUUUUAAAAAACAAUUUCUUGUUUUCUUUCCCCCAUUAAAUUCUCCUUAAGGACCUAAGUAUGUAGGUCUUUAUGGACAGAGCAUAAUUGAGAUGUUAAAAACAGAAAAUAAGAUCACAAUAAGCGUUUAUUAAGUCAGUGAUUAUCAUCAAUAUGAAUUUAUGGGUUGGGUUUAAAUUUUGAGAUUUUGUGAUUUACGUAGGUAAUUCCUUUAUCCACCCAAGCAAAUCUUUGUGGUUCAAAUUAAACUUCUGAAAAAACAGAAUUAUUCUUUUAUAUGAAAAGCCCUCUGGGUUGAUAAUGCCUUGGAUGAAGAUAUUCUAAUGUCUAAUUAUGUUUGUAAAUUGAAAAUUAUAAAAAAUGGUGACCAGUUUUCAGGUUCACUAGUAAAACUGGAUUUAGCUUGGCAAG
rnacentral:lncRNA from 1 species